UUAAGCGACUAAGCGUACACGGUGGAUGCCCUGGCAGUCAGAGGCGAUGAAGGACGUGCUAAUCUGCGAUAAGCGUCGGUAAGGUGAUAUGAACCGUUAUAACCGGCGAUUUCCGAAUGGGGAAACCCAGUGUGAUUCGUCACACUAUCAUUAACUGAAUCCAUAGGUUAAUGAGGCGAACCGGGGGAACUGAAACAUCUAAGUACCCCGAGGAAAAGAAAUCAACCGAGAUUCCCCCAGUAGCGGCGAGCGAACGGGGAGCAGCCCAGAGCCUGAAUCAGUGUGUGUGUUAGUGGAAGCGUCUGGAAAGGCGCGCGAUACAGGGUGACAGCCCCGUACACAAAAAUGCACAUGCUGUGAGCUCGAUGAGUAGGGCGGGACACGUGGUAUCCUGUCUGAAUAUGGGGGGACCAUCCUCCAAGGCUAAAUACUCCUGACUGACCGAUAGUGAACCAGUACCGUGAGGGAAAGGCGAAAAGAACCCCGGCGAGGGGAGUGAAAAAGAACCUGAAACCGUGUACGUACAAGCAGUGGGAGCACAGAGCAAUCUGUGUGACUGCGUACCUUUUGUAUAAUGGGUCAGCGACUUAUAUUCUGUAGCAAGGUUAACCGAAUAGGGGAGCCGAAGGGAAACCGAGUCUUAACUGGGCGUUAAGUUGCAGGGUAUAGACCCGAAACCCGGUGAUCUAGCCAUGGGCAGGUUGAAGGUUGGGUAACACUAACUGGAGGACCGAACCGACUAAUGUUGAAAAAUUAGCGGAUGACUUGUGGCUGGGGGUGAAAGGCCAAUCAAACCGGGAGAUAGCUGGUUCUCCCCGAAAGCUAUUUAGGUAGCGCCUCGUGAAUUCAUCUCCGGGGGUAGAGCACUGUUUCGGCAAGGGGGUCAUCCCGACUUACCAACCCGAUGCAAACUGCGAAUACCGGAGAAUGUUAUCACGGGAGACACACGGCGGGUGCUAACGUCCGUCGUGAAGAGGGAAACAACCCAGACCGCCAGCUAAGGUCCCAAAGUCAUGGUUAAGUGGGAAACGAUGUGGGAAGGCCCAGACAGCCAGGAUGUUGGCUUAGAAGCAGCCAUCAUUUAAAGAAAGCGUAAUAGCUCACUGGUCGAGUCGGCCUGCGCGGAAGAUGUAACGGGGCUAAACCAUGCACCGAAGCUGCGGCAGCGACGCUUAUGCGUUGUUGGGUAGGGGAGCGUUCUGUAAGCCUGCGAAGGUGUGCUGUGAGGCAUGCUGGAGGUAUCAGAAGUGCGAAUGCUGACAUAAGUAACGAUAAAGCGGGUGAAAAGCCCGCUCGCCGGAAGACCAAGGGUUCCUGUCCAACGUUAAUCGGGGCAGGGUGAGUCGACCCCUAAGGCGAGGCCGAAAGGCGUAGUCGAUGGGAAACAGGUUAAUAUUCCUGUACUUGGUGUUACUGCGAAGGGGGGACGGAGAAGGCUAUGUUGGCCGGGCGACGGUUGUCCCGGUUUAAGCGUGUAGGCUGGUUUUCCAGGCAAAUCCGGAAAAUCAAGGCUGAGGCGUGAUGACGAGGCACUACGGUGCUGAAGCAACAAAUGCCCUGCUUCCAGGAAAAGCCUCUAAGCAUCAGGUAACAUCAAAUCGUACCCCAAACCGACACAGGUGGUCAGGUAGAGAAUACCAAGGCGCUUGAGAGAACUCGGGUGAAGGAACUAGGCAAAAUGGUGCCGUAACUUCGGGAGAAGGCACGCUGAUAUGUAGGUGAAGUCCCUCGCGGAUGGAGCUGAAAUCAGUCGAAGAUACCAGCUGGCUGCAACUGUUUAUUAAAAACACAGCACUGUGCAAACACGAAAGUGGACGUAUACGGUGUGACGCCUGCCCGGUGCCGGAAGGUUAAUUGAUGGGGUCAGCGCAAGCGAAGCUCUUGAUCGAAGCCCCGGUAAACGGCGGCCGUAACUAUAACGGUCCUAAGGUAGCGAAAUUCCUUGUCGGGUAAGUUCCGACCUGCACGAAUGGCGUAAUGAUGGCCAGGCUGUCUCCACCCGAGACUCAGUGAAAUUGAACUCGCUGUGAAGAUGCAGUGUACCCGCGGCAAGACGGAAAGACCCCGUGAACCUUUACUAUAGCUUGACACUGAACAUUGAGCCUUGAUGUGUAGGAUAGGUGGGAGGCUUUGAAGUGUGGACGCCAGUCUGCAUGGAGCCGGCCUUGAAAUACCACCCUUUAAUGUUUGAUGUUCUAACGUUGACCCGUGAUCCGGGUUGCGGACAGUGUCUGGUGGGUAGUUUGACUGGGGCGGUCUCCUCCUAAAGAGUAACGGAGGAGCACGAAGGUUGGCUAAUCCUGGUCGGACAUCAGGAGGUUAGUGCAAUGGCAUAAGCCAGCUUGACUGCGAGCGUGACGGCGCGAGCAGGUGCGAAAGCAGGUCAUAGUGAUCCGGUGGUUCUGAAUGGAAGGGCCAUCGCUCAACGGAUAAAAGGUACUCCGGGGAUAACAGGCUGAUACCGCCCAAGAGUUCAUAUCGACGGCGGUGUUUGGCACCUCGAUGUCGGCUCAUCACAUCCUGGGGCUGAAGUAGGUCCCAAGGGUAUGGCUGUUCGCCAUUUAAAGUGGUACGCGAGCUGGGUUUAGAACGUCGUGAGACAGUUCGGUCCCUAUCUGCCGUGGGCGCUGGAGAACUGAGGGGGGCUGCUCCUAGUACGAGAGGACCGGAGUGGACGCAUCACUGGUGUUCGGGUUGUCAUGCCAAUGGCACUGCCCGGUAGCUAAAUGCGGAAGAGAUAAGUGCUGAAAGCAUCUAAGCACGAAACUUGCCCCGAGAUGAGUUCUCCCUGACUCCUUGAGAGUCCUGAAGGAACGUUGAAGACGACGACGUUGAUAGGCCGGGUGUGUAAGCGCAGCGAUGCGUUGAGCUAACCGGUACUAAUGAACCGUGAGGCUUAACCUU
rnacentral:rRNA from 1 species